rnacentral:misc_RNA from 1 species
GAAGAAUUAAGCAAUAUGACCAUCACUCAUCAUUGUAGAUGCAUAGUUUAGAAAUGCUAUUUAAUGAUAUUGCCAGGUUAGGCUUAUUGUUCCAGAAACGAAAGAGACUUUGAUUAGAAAAUAAGUUAAAAGUGAAAUGUGAUAAUAUCCAUAGCAGCUAAAUGGCUUCCUUCAAGAGUUUCUCGGUCAGAGCCUUAGGAAG